rnacentral:rRNA from 1 species
GGGUCAACCGCAUUUCCAUUAUUUGAAUGUUAAGCUUGAUUAGGGAGGAGGUAGAUGAAUUUUUAGGGUAGGAGUGAAUCCCGUAGAUAUUAGAAGGACCACGGAUGUCGUAGGCAGUUUACUGGCCCAUUACUGACANUAAGGCACGAAAGCGUGGGGAGCGAACGGGAUUAGAUACCCCGUUAGUCCACGCCGUAAACUAUGGAUGCUAGCUGUUAUCAGUAUCGACCCUGGUAGUAGCGAAGCUAACGCGUUAAGCAUCCCGCCUGUGGAGUACGAGCGCAAGCUUAAAACAUAAAGGAAUUGACGGGGACCCGCACAAGCGGUGGAGCGUGUUGUUUAAUUCGAUGGUAAGCGAAGAACCUUACCAGGGUUUGACAUCUUGGGAAUUUUUUUGAAAGAAAAAAGUGCCUUCGGGAACCCAAUGACAGGUGUUGCAUGGCCGUCGUCAGCUCGUGUCGUGAGAUGUUUGGUUAAGUCCAUCAACGAGCGCAACCCUUAUAGUUAGUUGAAUUUUUCUAGCUAGACUGCCCCGGUAACGGGGAGGAAGGAGGGGAUGAUGUCAGGUCAGUAUUACCCUUACACCCUGGGCUACAAACACGCUACAAUGGCCGGUACAAAGCGCAGCCAACCCGCGAGGGGGAGCAAAUCGCAUCAAAGCCGGUCUCAGUUCGGAUAGUAGGCUGAAAUUCGCCUGCUUGAAGCUGGAAUCGCUAGUAACGGUGAGUCAGCACAUUACCGUGAAUACGUUCCCGGGUCUUGUACACACCGCCCGUCAAGUCAUGAAAGUCGCCAAUACCCGAAGUCUAACUUUGUUGGCCUAAGGUAGGGGAGAUGAUUGGGACUAAGUCGUAACAAGGUAA